UUGUUACAUGUGUGGAUUUUGUCGCUCAAGGUAAUUCUCGGAACAGGAAUGAGUCAUUUACCAAGUAAUCUGACUGAGCAUAUAUAUUCACACUGAAAAGAGACAUUGGUAAAAUUAUGUGCUAGCAUGCUGGCAUUGCGAUCGACUUAACAGGAGCGAUAUAUAGAGACGGCACGAAGAGUAAAGGAUAAUACCAGUCUUGGCUGAGAUGGAUUCAUACAAGGACUAUGACUGGUCCUGUACCGAGUGUACAUACUUGAACGCUUACUACCGACAGAGAUGUGGAAUAUGCAGUAGUGGACGAAGACAUACCGAUCAGUCAGCAGCAGCCCAAG